rnacentral:ncRNA from 1 species
GUGCGGUUAUAAAAAACAACAUUUUUUGAACGUUGGCUUUGCCAACUGCUGCCCCGAUAGGGGGGAACAAACGAGUCAGCGAGUUUGUGAAUAAUUUUUAGUUUA